CCUACGGGAGGCAGCAGUAGGGAAUCUUUCACAAUGGGCGAAAGCCUGAUGGAGCAACGCCGCGUGCAGGAUGAAGGCCUUCGGGUUGUAAACUGCUUUUAUAAGCGAGAAAUAUGAUGGUAACUUAUGAAUAAGGAUCGGCUAACUACGUGCCAGCAGCCGCGGUCAUACGUAGGAUCCGAGCAUUAUCCGGAGUGACUGGGUGUAAAGAGUUGCGUAGGUGGCAUAAUAAGUAGCUAGUGAAAUCUGGUGGCUCAACCAUUCAGACUAUUAGCUAAACUGUUAAGCUCGAGACCGUUAGGGGUAACUGGAAUUUCUAGUGUAGGAGUGAAAUCCGUAGAUAUUAGAAGGAACACCAAUAGCGUAGGCAGGUUGCUGGGACGGUUCUGACACUAAGGCACGAAAGCGUAGGGAGCAAACGGGAUUAGAUACCCCAGUAGUU
rnacentral:rRNA from 1 species